GCAGAAUGGUUGUGAUUUCAUGUUAAUGAGAGUGGCCUUGUCUGGAAUUUGAAACUCAAGACCAGUCUCACACCAUACCCCAGGACCAAUGAGACACGAAUGUGAAUGCUUGCACAAAGAAAAUGUUUGUCCAUUAGUUGCACACAUCUUAUUUGACGAAAUGCAAACUGGCAUCGAGAUCCUAAAGUGCAGUUUUCCAUGCGUUGGCAUCUUGUUGAAGGCAUACAAGAGCUCCAUGACAAAAGCUUGGCAACAUGGCCCAGUGACCUAAUGGAUAAGGCAUCAGCCUCUGGAGUUGGGUAUUGUAGGUUCAAGUCCCAUCUGGGUUGUCUUUGAAGGUCCACUAUAGAUUUAAUUACAGAUCAUUUCAACCAAUUAUUGCAAUGAAAAAAACUGAUGCAUCAACACAUCAAAGCACUCUCUUGCUGACAUCAGGGCUUUCCUGUUGCAGUCGGGUGUGCACGUCUCCAACACCACUAUAAGACGACACUAUAGACGUCAAAGCCCUGUAGGCCUUCCUAGAAAAACAACUGCAAGGCAAGGAAAAUGAACAGUGCUGCACUUAAAACGAUUGACGAAAAACUGCACAAGGACAAUGAGCAAUCUGCUAAAAAGAUUCAGAGUGAGCUUCUGUUUAGAAUACAGUUAAAAGCAUCAGUCUGCAAUAUUAGAAAACCAGUAAAACAACUCAGGUGGACCUAUAGAAAGCCAGGUAAGCCAUUUUGAACAAUGCCAUAAUGAAAAGAUUUAUUUAUUUACAUUAAUCCAUGCAUCUCUUUAUUUAGGCUAUUUGCUUUAUACGAGCUUACAUGUCCUACAAAUUUAUUAAUAGGACAUACCCUAUUAAUAAACCGCCAUGUUGUGAAACCGAAAGCAAAGCAUCCAGUAAAAAUUCAUGUCUGGGGAGCCAUAUUCCAUCAGGGACCUGGACCGCUAGUUGUGUUAGAAGGAAUUAUGGACAGAUGUUUUUACGAAGACACUAUAAUAAAAUUCAAUCAGGCUCCAUACGUAAAACAACACUUUAAGAACCAUAUCACUUCUUCCAAGGUAGAUACAGUAUGUAGGCCUACUGUACCAACUUUGUAUGUGUGUGUGUACAUGUUCACUGAUGUGUGUGUGUGUGUG